GUAGAACUAGGAGAACUCAAUAAAAGGCUGCCUGCCACGCUGAGCAGGCAGACAUCUCUUGUCUCACCAUCCUCGUGUGUCUUGUGUGUCCUUCUUUUCCCCUCGGACCAAGACCU